GGGAGUAUAGCUCAGUGGUAGAGCAUCCGACUGCAGAUCGGAUUGUCCCCGGUUCAACCCCGGGUGUUCCCU
rnacentral:tRNA from 1 species